CAUGCCAUGACCUCACCACCACAUUGCCAUGAUGUCACGUUGCCUUGCGUGUUACAUCCUAACCUCACCGUGUCACUUGCUGAGUUAAGAGAUCUGGGAUUUGCGGUUUAUAAGAAUGAAUUUUCUACUUGGGGACACGGCAAAUGGCUGGAAGGUGGUAUAGACAUGCUAAUGAUCCUAUUUAUCUGACCUGGAUUUCCAGGUAGGCUUCUGUUUACAGGCCUAGUGACCACCAAACGUCACCAAACUCCUUCUAAUGAGGCAAACUCUCACUGCUACAACUGCACAGUGAACCACUCGAUUUCCUGUUUUUGUCAAAGCAUGUUUCAUCCCAUGGACUCUUGCUCUUAGUCACGUUAGUAUUAAAAGGACCCUGACAUUC